rnacentral:rRNA from 1 species
GACGAACGCUGGCGGCGUGCUUAACACAUGCAAGUCGAGCGGUAAGGCCCUUUCGGGGGUACACGAGCGGCGAACGGGUGAGUAACACGUGGGUGACCUGCCCUCAGCUCUGGGAUAAGCCUGGGAAACCGGGUCUAAUACCGGAUAUGACUCCAUGACGCAUGUUGUGGGGUGGAAAGCCUUGUGCGGCUGAGGAUGGGCCCGCGGCCUAUCAGCUUGUUGGUGGGGUGAUGGCCUACCAAGGCGACGACGGGUAGCCGGCCUGAGAGGGCGACCGGCCACACUGGGACUGAGACACGGCCCAGACUCCUACGGGAGGCAGCAGUGGGGAAUCUUGCGCAAUGGGCGGAAAGCCUGACGCAGCGACGCCGCGUGAGGGAUG